UUAUAGCCCCGAUGGGAGCGGUAUCCUUUUAUGGCGGGGUUCGCCAUAAAAGAUUUAGCGGACAGCGGGACGAGUG
rnacentral:sRNA from 1 species